CCUACGGGUGGCAGCAGUGAGGAAUAUUGGUCAAUGGGCGCUAGCCUGAACCAGCCAAGUAGCGUGAAGGAUGACUGCCCUAUGGGUUGUAAACUUCUUUUAUAUGGGAAUAAAGUGCAGUACGUAUACUGCUUUGCAUGUACCUUAUGAAUAAGGAUCGGCUAACUCCGUGCCAGCAGCCGCGGUAAUACGGAGGAGCCGAGCGUUAUCCGGAUUUAUUGGGUUUAAAGGGAGCGUAGGCGGGUGGUGAAGUCCGUUGUGAAAGGUUGGGGCUCAACCGUUAAAUUGCAGUUGAUACUGGCAUCCUUGAGUACAGGAGAGGUAGGCGGAAUUCGUGGUGUAGCGGUGAAAUGCGUAGAUAUCACGAAGAACUCCGAUUGCGAAGGCAGCCUGCUGGACUGUGACUGACGCUGAGGCUCGAAAGUGUGGGUAGCAAACAGGAUUAGAUACCCCUGUAGUC
rnacentral:rRNA from 1 species